GGACACGACCGUACCGCAAACCGACACUGGUGCGCGAGAUGAGUAUUCUAAGGCGCUUGAGAGAACUCAGGAGAAGGAACUCGGCAAAUUGACACCGUAACUUCGGAAGAAGGUGUGCCUUUAGUAGGUGAACCAUUUACUUGGGGAGCCCAAUGAGGCUGCAAAAAAUCGGUGGCUGCAACUGUUUAUUAAAAACACAGCACUCUGCUAAGACGAAAGUCGACGUAUAGGGUGUGACGCCUGCCCGGUGCUGGAAGAUUAAAUGAUGGGGUGCAAGCUCUUGAUUGAAGUCCCAGUAAACGGCGGCCGUAACAAUAACGGUCCUAAGGUAGCGAAAUUCCUUGUCGGGUAAGUUCCGACCUGCACGAAUGGCGUAAUGAUGGCCACACUGUCUCCUCCUGUGACUCAGCGAAGUUGAAAUGUUUGUGAUGAUGCAAUCUCCCCGCGGAAAGACGGAAAGACCCCAUGAACCUUUACUGUAGCUUUGUAUUGGACUUUGAACAGAUCUGUGUAGGAUAGGUGGGAGGCUUUGAAGUGUGGUCGCUAGAUCGCAUGGAGCCAACGUUGAAAUACCACCCUGGUGUGUUUGAGGUUCUAACCUAGGUCCAUUAUCUGGAUCGGGGACAGUGCAUGGUAGGCAGUUUGACUGGGGCGGUCUCCUCCCAAAGUGUAACGGAGGAGUUCGAAGGUACGCUAGGUACGGUCGGACAUCGUGCUAAUAGUGCAAUGGCAUUAGCGUGCUUAACUGCGAAACUGACAAGUCGAGCAGAUGCGAAAGCAGGACAUAGUGAUCCGGUGGUUCUGUAUGGAAGGGCCAUCGCUCAACGGAUAAAAGGUACUCUGGGGAUAACAGGCUGAUACCGCCCAAGAGUUCAUAUCGACGGCGGUGUUUGGCACCUCGAUGUCGGCUCAUCUCAUCCUGGGGCUGUAGCCGGUCCCAAGGGUAUGGCUGUUCGCCAUUUAAAGAGGUACGUGAGCUGGGUUUAAAACGUCGUGAGACAGUUUGGUCCCUAUCUUCCGUGGGCGCUGCAGAUUUGAGGAAGCCUGCUCCUAGUACGAGAGGACCGGAGUGGACGAACCUCUGGUGUAUCGGUUGUCACGCCAGUGGCAUUGCCGAGUAGCUAAGUUCGGAAGAGAUAACCGCUGAAAGCAUCUAAGCGGGAAACUCGUUUCAAGAUUAGAUCUGCCGGGGCCUUGAGCCCCCUAAAGAGUCGUUCAAGACCAGGACGUUGAUAGGUCAGGUGUGGAAGCUAAAAAAAAA
rnacentral:rRNA from 1 species